AUUGAACGCUGGCGGCAUGCCUUACACAUGCAAGUCGAACGGUAACGCGGGGCAACCUGGCGACGAGUGGCGAACGGGUGAGUAGUGCAUCGGAACGUGCCCAAUAGUGGGGGAUAGCCCGGCGAAAGCCGGAUUAAUACCGCAUACGACCUAUGGGUGAAAGCGGGGGAUCGCAAGACCUCGCGCUAUUGGAGCGGCCGAUGUCAGAUUAGGUAGUUGGCGGGGUAAAGGCCCACCAAGCCUGCGAUCUGUAGCUGGUCUGAGAGGACGACCAGCCACACUGGGACUGAGACACGGCCCAGACUCCUACGGGAGGCAGCAGUGGGGAAUUUUGGACAAUGGGGGUAACCCCG
rnacentral:rRNA from 1 species